rnacentral:rRNA from 1 species
UAAGCGGAGGAAAAGAAACCAACAGGGAUUGCCCUAGUAACGGCGAGUGAAGCGGCAACAGCUCAAAUUUGAAAUCUGGCCUCGGCCCGAGUUGUAAUUUGCAGAGGAAGUUUCUGGCAAGGUGCCUUCUGAGUCCACUGGAACGUGGCGCCACAGAGGGUGAGAGCCCCGUAUAGUAGGACACCACGCCUGUGUGAAACCCCUUCGACGAGUCGAGUAGUUUGGGAAUGCUGCUCUAAAUGGGAGGUAAAUUCCUUCUAAAGCUAAAUAUUGGCCCGAGACCGAUAGCGUACAAGUAGAGUGAUCGAAAGAUGAAAAGCACUUUGAAAAGAGAGUCAAAUAGCACGUGAAAUUGUUGAAAGGGAAGGAUUUGUGACCAGACUUGCGCCGCGCGGUUCUCCCGGUGUUCUCACCGGUGCACUCCGUGCGGUUCAGGCCAGCAUCGGUUUUCGGCGGGGGAUAAAAGCGAUGGGAACGUAGCUCCCUUGGGAGUGUUAUAGCCCGCCGCAGAAUACCCCGUCGGGGACCGAGGCCCGCGUUUUUCACGGAUGCUGGCGUAAUGGUUACCAAUCACCCGUCUUGA